rnacentral:tRNA from 1 species
GGCCCCAUGGUCUAGCGGCCUAGGACGCCUGGUUCUCAGCCAGGAGACCGCGGGUUCGAAUCCCGCUGGGGCUACCA